UGCAACCUGAACUCAGAUGUGAUUACCC
rnacentral:rRNA from 1 species